rnacentral:rRNA from 1 species
GGUUGAUCCUGCCAGUAGUCAUAUGCUUGUCUCAAAGAUUAAGCCAUGCAUGUCUAAGUAUAGCUGUAUACUGUGAAACUGCGAAUGGCUCAUUAAAUCAGUUAUAAUUUAUUUGAUGGUACCUACUACUCGGAUAACCGUAGUAAUUCUAGAGCUAAUACGUGCGUAAAUCCCGACUUCUGGAAGGGACGUAUUUAUUAGAUAAAAGACCAGCCGGACUUGGCAUUUAUGUCUCGUCUGUCUCUCGGUGACUCAUGAUAACUUUGCGAAUCGCUGAUCUUCAGCGAUGUUU